rnacentral:rRNA from 1 species
UACGUAGGGUCCGAGCGUUGUCCGGAUUUAUUGGGCGUAAAGAGCUCGUAGGCGGUUCCGUAAGUCAGAUGUGAAAACUCAGGGCUCAACCCGGAGACGCCAUCUGAUACUGCGGUGACUGGAGUCUGGUAGGGGAACACGGAAUUCCUGGUGUAGCGGUGAAAUGCGCAGAUAUCAGGAGGAACACCGAUGGCGAAGGCGGCAUCCUGGACCAAUUCUGACGCUGAGGAGCGAAAGCCAGGGGAGCAAACGGG